rnacentral:rRNA from 1 species
CAUGUUUACUUAAAUAAACCAUUUUGAUCAACCCACUCUAGCCCUCAAAAUACAAGCCCAAUCAAGUUAACUACACUAAACCAAAACAUUUUUAUGCCCAAGUACCGGUGAGAGAAAAGACAACAGGCGCAAUAGAGACAGUACCGCAAGGGAAAGAUGAAAUAAAAAUUUAACACAAAAGUACAACACAGCAAAGAUUAACCCUUUUACCUUUUGCAUUAUGGUUUAGCCAAACAUAACCGCGGCAAAGAGCACUAAAGUCACCUGCACCCGAAUCUGGGCGAGCUACUAGCCAGCAGAAGUAACACAGCGCUAACCCAUCUCUGUAGCAAAAGAGCGGGAAGACUGCCUAGUAGAAGUGAAAAGCCUAACGAGCCCAGUGAUAGCUGGUUGCUUGGGAAUAGAAUUUAAGUUCUACUGAAAACCUUCUGAUUUACCACAACAAAGGACAAAGAAAGCUUUCAAGCUAUUUAAUGGGGGUACAGCCCCAUUAACACAGGACUCAACCUCUACCUAAGGGUAAAACUAACUCGCACUUUAAAUG